ACACCCACAGAGACGCUCAGAGUACGUUACAUGUCUCUUUUCAUUAUCUCCUGAAUUAUAUUGAAUAACUUAGAUAACUAAUACAUUUUUUAUUUAUUUCAAAUUAAAGACGGAAUGGCUGAGGAAAAAGGUCCUACAACAAGACCGAAUCAAAGCUAUCCAAGAGACGAUAGCAGGAUUUCUCGGCGACCAAGUGAUCAAUCCAAACGGCG
rnacentral:lncRNA from 1 species